GAGAAGCGAAACCGCGAGGUGGAGCAAAUCCCAAAAAUAACGUCUCAGUUCGGAUUGUAGUCUGCAACUCGACUACAUGAAGCUGGAAUCGCUAGUAAUCGCGAAUCAGAAUGUCGCGGUGAAUACGUUCCCGGGCCUUGUACACACCGCCCGUCACACCAUGAGAGUCGGGAACACCCGAAGUCCGUAGUCUAACCGCAAGGAGGGCGCGGCCGAAGGUGGGCUUGAUAAUUGGGGUGAAGUCGUAACAAGGUACC
rnacentral:rRNA from 1 species